rnacentral:tRNA from 1 species
CCUUCGAUAGCUCAGUUGGUAGAGCGGUGGACUGUAGUUGAGUUGCAUAGCGAUUGCAAGAGUAUGAAUAGAAAUCCAUAGGUCGCUGGUUCAAAUCCGGCUCGAAGGA